UUUAGUGGCGAACGGGUGAGUAACACGUAAGCAACCUGCCCUUAAGACGAGGAUAACAAUUGGAAACAGUUGCUAAGACUGGAUAGGAAAAGUAAAGGCAUCUUUACUUUUUUAAAAGACCUUCUUUGGAGGUAUGCUUAAGGAGGGGCUUGCGACACAUUAGUUAGUUGGCAGGGUAAAGGCCUACCAAGACUAUGAUGUGUAGCUGGACUGAGAGGUUGAACAGCCACAUUGGGACUGAGACACGGCCCAAACUCCUACGGGAGGCAGCAGUAGGGAAUUUUCGGCAAUGGAGGAAACUCUGACCGAGCAACGCCGCGUGAACGAUGAAGUACCUCGGUAUGUAAAGUUCUUUUAUUAAGGAAGAAAAAAGAGUGGAAAAACUCCCUUGACGGUACUUAAUGAAUAAGCCCCGGCUAAUUAUGUGCCAGCAGCCGCGGUAAUACAUAAGGGGCGAGCGUUAUCCGGAAUUAUUGGGCGUAAAGGGUGCGUAGGCGGUUUAAUAAGUCUAUAGUUUAAUUUCAGUGCUUAACGCUGUUGUGCUAUAGAAACUGUUUUACUAGAGUGAGAUAGAGGCAAGCGGAAUUCCAUGUGUAGCGGUAAAAUGCGUAAAUAUAUGGAGGAACACCAGAGGCGUAGGCGGCUUGCUGGGUCUUUACUGACGCUGAGGCACGAAAGCGUGGGGAGCAAACAGGAUUAGAUACCCUGGUAGUCCACGCCGUAAACGAUGAGUACUAAGUGUCGGGUAAAACCGGUACUGAAGUUAACACAUUAAGUACUCCGCCUGAGUAGUACGUACGCAAGUAUGAAACUUAAAGGAAUUGACGGGACUCCGCACAAGCGGUGGAUCAUGUUGUUUAAUUCGAAGAUACACGAAAAACCUUACCAGGUCUUGACAUUUUCUUGCGAAGUUAUAGAAAUAUAAUGGAGGUUAUCAGGAAAACAGGUGGUGCAUGGUUGUCGUCAGCUCGUGUCGUGAGAUGUUAGGUUAAGUCCUAAAACGAGCGCAACCCUUGUCGUUAAUUGCCAGCAUGUAAUGAUGGGGACUUUAACGAGACUGCCAAUGAAAAAUUGGAGGAAGGUGGGGAUUACGUCAAAUCAUCAUGCCCCUUAUGAUCUGGGCUACAAACGUGAUACAAUGGUUGAUACAAAGAGUAGCUGAAACGCGAGUUCUUAGCCAAUCUCACAAAAUCAAUCUCAGUUCGGAUUGAAGUCUGCAACUCGACUUCAUGAAGUUGGAAUCGCUAGUAAUCGCGAAUCAGCAUGUCGCGGUGAAUACGUUCUCGGGGUUUGUACACACCGCCCGUCAAACCACGAAAGUUGGCAAUACCCCAAAGCGGUCGCCUAACUUCGUAAGAAGAAGGAUCCGUCUAAGGUAGGGUCGAUAAUUGGGGUUAAGUCGUAACAAGGUAUCCCUACCGGAAGGUGGGGAUGGAUCACCUCCUUUCU
rnacentral:rRNA from 1 species